GCCAGGCGCAGUGGCACAUGCCUGUAAUCCCAGCAGCUUGGGAGGCUGAGGCAGGAGGAUCACGAAUUGAAAGUCAGCCUCAGCCAUGGCGAGACCCUAAGCAACUCAGUGAGACCCUGUCUCUA
rnacentral:sRNA from 1 species